CAUCUACUCCCUCCGUUCCUAAAUACUUGUCUUUCUAGGCAUUUCAAUAAGUGACUACAUACGGAGCAAAAUGAGUGAAUCUACACUCUAAAAUAUGUCUACAUACAUCCGUAUGUAGUAGUCAUUUGAAAUGUCUAGAAAGACAAGUAUUUAGGAACGGAGGGAGUAACAG
rfam:Triticum aestivum genome assembly, contig: Triticum_aestivum_CS42_TGACv1_scaffold_230210_3B